GUACAUUCUCCUCCUUUUUUAUGACCAAGAAAAUCCCAGAGUUCCCGUUGUGGCGCAGUGGUUAAUGAAUCCGACUAGGAACCAUGAGGCUGCGGGUUCGGUCCCUGGCCUUGCUCAGUGGGUUAAGGAUCCAGCAGUGCCGUGAGCUGAGGGGUAGGUCGCAGAAGUGGCUUGGAUCUGGCAUUGCUGUGGCUGUGGUGUAGGCCGGCAGCAACAGCUCUGAUUAGACCCCUAGCCUGGGAACCUCCAUAUGCCGAGGGAAGCAGCCCUAGAAAAGGCAAAAAGACAAAAAAAGAAAAAAAGAAAGAAAAGAAAGAAAGAAAAUCCCGCUGAAAAUGAGAAUCUUCACAAUGGAACAUUCGCUGUCUUGCUUCAUUAAGUCCGUUGGGUGGAGCCUGGUGUGAAUGAAGAGAAGUCCACGGGUUUUUCUCUCUUUGUUGAUGCAGUUAUUUUCACAGAGGACAGUUUUUGCAUAAUCACAGUAAAAGGAGCCAAUGGAAUUGUGUUCCUACUACUUAAGCGCUAAAGCCACAUGUUUACGGAUGUUAUCUUCGAAUCCUCACAGCAUCCCUGUAAAAGAGCUAUUCUUACUCUCACUUUCUGCUAAGAUAGAGAAGUGUCUUUACCAUAUUACUGUGAAAUAGAUGAACAGGUAUGAUGACCCGCAGUUCCAGCUGAGACCUGGGGCUCAGAGAGGGUGGCAGCUGGAGCCGGUUUGGCUGGGACAGUGCUGUGACUGCCAUGUGGGGACCUGCUCAGCAGGACCUUUACGCUGAGGCCAUGUUUCAAAGCCUAGUUUUUAGCCUUCAAGGUCCAUACAUUGGCCUUUUUCCAUGAGCUCAAAGAUGCUCAGGCUCUACAGUGAUAGACGUCGGAUAACCGAGUUUUACUACGGAUGAUGGAUCAACCAAAGUUUAUGUCUUUUUUAUCAGGGCGUUUCUUCUUUCUAAGGACCAGGACAUCCAUGUUGCAAAAUCAAGGGUUCACAGACUUCCCUUGCCCUUCAUGCCAAUCUGAUCCCCCACUGCCCCUGAGUCCUUCCUAAACUAUGCACCCAGCUACUUCAGUCCCUUACUCGUGACCCUGCAGAGACACCUUGCUCCUCGCAGGAUAAAACUGAGGCUCCAUCACUUAAAUCACUUUCUCUCUCUUGCAUCAUCAUCUCUCCUCUCUUCAUUCAGUUCUAGGAACACUGAAUAUCCCGGUCAGCCCCGAAUCUCUUUUGCAUCUGGGGUCUGGUGUAUCUGGUCCCUCUGCUGAGGUCAUAUCCUUCCUCUUUCUUUCCUCUUCACUGUACCCCAUUCAUCUGGCUAAUUCAGGGCCCAGCUUAGAGCUCUCAUCCAUCUGGAGGCUUCCCUUGAUCCUCCUAAUCUCAGCCAUUUGCUCCCAUCCUCCACUGCUGAGUCAAAGUGAUCUAAUAAAACCUUGCACCUCCUCUCUAAUAGCUUGUGUUGACUUGUGUCCUGUUUACUUGUCUCGUCACCCUCACCAGAAUCAAAGUUCUCGGCCAGGGUCCAUGUUUCAUUCACUAUUACUCCUCUACCUAGGACGUGGCACAGGCCUAUGUACAUAGAAAGUGCUCAGUAAAAUUUUCUUGAAUGAACAGAGAAUGGAAGAUCUGUGUUGAAGUCCCAACCUUGCCACUUUCUAGGGUGUGACUUUUGACAAGUUUCUUAUUUACUUAGGGGCUCCAUUUCAUCAUUUAUAAAAGGAGAAAUUUCACUGAGAUAUGAAAUUCUUUCCAAACAGGAACAUAUUGGGAUUCUAAUGCCAUUCCUUAGCCAUCCGGAAACCAUAAAUUAACUGUCGUAUUUUACAAAUGAUAAGUUGGGAGCAUUGCCAUGGAAGUCAUUUCUUGAACAUGGAUUGAUUAUUUCACUUCAUCCACUUAUACACAUUAAUGGUCGAUAGGUUCAAAACUGUUCUCAUGUUGAUAUUUCUGUCUUUAAUGCAAGGGUUUCUUUUUCUGCAGGAUACUCUCUUCAUUUACACUGACAGGCAUAUCCAAAAGGAGUCUUUUAAGCCUGAGAAGAUGAUGAAUUCUAUUUAUGUCCAAGGUUUUGUUCUUAGGUCCAUCCGUUUUUACCUAGAGGGACUUAAUGAAAUCUUUUGCCCUACUAAGAAUUUCAAGUGAAGCUAAUUAAAUAAACCAUUAUACGAGAAUAGCAGUAUCAAAUAAGAAGAAAAAAUUUAAUUUGCUGAUUAUUCAUGAACUUGACUUAGCAAUGGACAUAAUACUGUACAGUGUGGAAUAUAUGAUACGAAAAUAAAAGGAAAGAAGAGGGAGUUCCCAUUACGGCUCAGGGGUAAUCAUGUACCUGACUGGUAUCCAUGAGAACAAGGGUGUUUUUUUGUUUGUUUGUUUGUUUUGUUUUUGUCUUUUUGUCUUUAAUGGACGCACCCACGCCUAGGAACUUCCAUGUGCUGCAGGUGCAGCCCUAAAAGAUGACAACAACAACAAAAAAAAAAAAAAAAAAGGAAAAGAGGAGAUCUCUUAACAUGCUCGUAGUAGGAGUAUGAAUAUCAUGUGUAAGUCAUUGCAGUAGCUCGUGCAUGAUGUCUGCAUUAUCCCUGAUGAGGGAAUCCAUGUCAAACUACAAGUUUGCAUCUGAACUUAUGUAUUUUGGAGGUUGCUUCCUUCUAUAUUCCUAACACUUACUGUCAUAGGAAUCAGAUUCUUACCAUGUCUCCAGUACCUCUUGCUACUUAAUUAAACAUAUCUAGAUAUUUCAUUAUUAUAUGUAAUAAUCAGAAGUAGUAAUUUAUUGGGAUGCUAUAGGUGCAAUAAAUUUUUCCUAAAAUUUGCUUUCUGUUUCCUGGUAAUUGUGACCAACCCAAGACUUGAAAACAGACUGAAAUUUUUUCGAAUUUUUUCAAAGUCUUCAGACUUGCUCAAUACUAUUGAAAUGAUAUACCUGAUGGGUUAAAACAGCAAUAUCAUCAGUAUUCUAAGUACACUCACUACUAGUGAAUUUUAUUCUCUGUUCUUCCCUGAAAAUUUUCUUGCCCAGUGCAGAAUUUCUUUUAUCUUUGGAUAAAACUGUAUUUGGCUUAGCUCGCCCUCUAAUUACCAUUAGGGUUCUUUCCCUCACUCGCCAUUACUUUCAUUAUGUGUUGUUGUUUAUUCAGCAAUCCAUGAUGAUCUCUGACCUCCUGACUCAGCAAAGCCCACUUCCAGGUCAGGUGGCCAUGACCUUGUGUAGACAGAGCACAGUCUGUUAGCAGCACAUCAGGAAAACACCAAAGAAAAAUGGAGUUGCUGUUUCUCUACUGACAAGUUGCUCUAAGCUCAGAUCACACCCAGUGAAAAUGAUUUAAUGACUCAAAUACUUGGUACAGAAACCUCGAUGAAAAAAACUGUACUUUUCAAGAAAAUAAGCGUAUAGUUUUGUUUCAUAUGGAAAAUAAAUUGUGAUGGUUCACUGGGGGGACAGCUUUUGCCUUUGAUUAUAGAUCACUAAAAUUACUUUACAAAAGGUAUUUUAAAGAAAUUAAAGAUGUAAUGCUUGUAUUUACAUGUCCUAGUAUUGAAAGUAAAUUCCAAUUUUUAUGCUGAAUAUGGGGUAUGUGGAUAAAUAAAGUUCAAAUCCUGAAAUCACUCCCCUUAUGGAUGACUAUUACAGAUUUGCCUAUAUUCUUUUAAAAUGUUAAUUAUUUCCAUCAUUAAGGCCAAUGAUUCUUGCAGUGGUGGUAAGGGAUGCAGUUUACAAACAAUGUCGUUCUUCGUCUCAUAGCUCUGAUUCUUUAAUUCCCAUACCUAAUUCGAUAUGUUAGCUAGUAUUAUAGGAAAAUAAGAAAAGUUUUCAUUAUCGAAAGAUAGAGAAAACUGUUUUUACUAAUGUGUCAUCGAGAAAAGGUUGGUCAUGGGCAGGUUUUGACAGAGAAGAAAUAGAAGGAAAAUAAGUUUUGUUGCCAUGGAGCAGGAAUCCAGAUGUUCUGGGAAGGCAGAAGCAUGAAUAUCCAAAGACCCAAGAAAGGACACACACCUGGAGAAGUUAAAAAGAAGAAGAAAAAAAACAGAGUCCCCAGAAUAGUUCUUUGCACAUAGUAGGUGCUCAAUCAAUAGUUUUAAGUGAGUAAAUGAACUUAGGCAACCCCACUGUAUGAAGCUUUGGUGUAAUUUUCUUCUGAUGUAGCAUUCGACGAUGGCACAAACGUAGGUAGUAGGCAUGAGGAGACAUUUGAGCGCUUUGGGCAUUUGCUAGAAGUCUUAUUCAUGUGGAAGUAAAGGCAAAUCUCAGAUACCAGUUGACCUAAUGGACAUUUCAUCUCGAGAAAGCCAAAGGAAAUGAAGGAAACUUCUAUUUUUUGGAUCAAAUUUUAACCAAGAAGGAGUUCCUGUCGUGGCUCAGCAGAAACAAAUCUGACUAGCAUCCAUGAGGAAACAGGUUCGAUCCCUGGCCUCACUCAGUGAGUGGGUUAAGGAUCUGGCAUUGCUGUGAGCUGUGGUGUAGGUCACAGACGCGGCUCAGAUAGCCUGGGAACUCCCAUAUGCCUUGGGUGCAACCCUAAAAAAAAAAAAA
ensembl:lncRNA